rfam:Candidatus Nomurabacteria bacterium RIFCSPHIGHO2_02_FTLL_35_13 rifcsphigho2_02_scaffold_1642, whole genome shotgun sequence.
UGCGGGAUCUGCUAAUUGGUAGGCAACAUGCCUCUGGAGCAUGGAAUCUAGGUUCGAACCCUAGUCCCGCAG